UACGGGGGGGGGCAAGCGUUGUUCGGAAUUACUGGGCGUAAAGGGCUCGUAGGCGGCCAACUAAGUCAGACGUGAAAUCCCUCGGCUUAACCGGGGAACUGCGUCUGAUACUGGAUGGCUAGAGGUUGGGAGAGGGAUGCGGAAUUCCAGGUGUAGCGGUGAAAUGCGUAGAUAUCUGGAGGAACACCGGUGGCGAAGGCGGCAUCCUGAACCAAUUCUGACGCUGAGGAGCGAAAGCCAGGGGAGCAAAGCGGG
rnacentral:rRNA from 1 species